AGUGGCAAGCUCACACUGGCCCUCACUUGGCAGGCAUCUGGACAGGCAGAGUCGAUGCCGCUCGCGCGUCCUGGCUCGGAAGGCAGAGAAGAAAGAUGAGCAUGAGACGCGGGAUUCUGAUUUUAGGAUGUACCUACUGCCUCGGAGAUUUAGAACAAGCCCCGAUGAGCUUCUAUCCUUUGGAAGAGAGACAACUUUUUGAGAUAGAUCGGCAUGGGCAAGGCAGACAUGGGCUUUUAAACUGAACAUCUGUUGCCACAUUGACUACGGGAGCACUGAAGGAAAGAUCCACUGGACUUGAUGUUUUAUGGAAAUGACCGGCUCGUCAGUCUGGCGCUAAGCGAGCGGUCUAAGAUGCCAGGACGCGUCACUGUGACAGAUUGGUAGCGUCUCAGCAGGCUGCGUGCAGCUGCAACUGUUGCCCGCUCUCUGGAACGAUUUGAUUUUGGAGAAAUCACCAGCAGCCCGGGCUCAGAGAGCCUCAUCGUUGAACUUUGCAAAGUUGGAUGUCCAGAAGCUGGGACUUACCUGACUGGAGUUCAGGCUGCUUUUGAUGAGGUACAGUAUCGAAGGCUAUCAAGGUAAAUUUUCUUGAAUUCUCUAUGGGCUUCACCAACACCUCCUCUCACGUCACUAAUGUGCCUUAAAGAGUGCUCGAAGCAGUUGCUUAAAGAGACCUGAAUGUUUCUCAACAAGGUUAAUGCAAGACUAAAGGCUUCUCUGGAAAAACAGUAAUUUAAAGAAGGUCACUCCCCCAACAGUCGUAUGCAUUUGCUACUCAGAAUUUACCAGAAAUAUAAGCAACAUUGAGUUGGAGAUAAAUAUUUGAAUAUAUUUGACACAAACUCAUGGAGAACAGAACAUUUGGACCUAGAAUUAAUGAAAAGACAAAUGGGACAACUUGACUAUUUGGAUUAAACAUAGGCUGCAAAUCAUGCGUAAGUCAUUUUUAUCCUACUUGUUCAUCAAAACUUUAAAACUCCUGAGCAAAGCAAGGAAUGUGAAAUUAAACUUUAAAACUCGUGAGCCAAACCAAGGUAUGUGAUGUAACCAUUUGAUGUGUUAAGAGCAAAAUGUACCUGCAAU